rfam:Myotis lucifugus cont2.31862, whole genome shotgun sequence.
GGUGGUUCUCGGGUGAUGCACCCCAGAAAUCAGGCUCCCUCCUCUCUGGUUCCAUUGCAUCACCGAGAACUGCA